rnacentral:rRNA from 1 species
UACAGAGGUGGCAAGCGUUGUUCGGAAUUACUGGGCGUAAAGGGCGAGUAGGUGGCCAUCUAAGUCAGACGUGAAAUCCCCCGGCUUAACCUGGGAACUGCGUCUGAUACUGGACGGCUUGAGUAUGGGAGAGGAAUGUAGAAUUCCAGGUGUAGCGGUGAAAUGCGUAGAUAUCUGGAGGAAUACCGGUGGCGAAGGCGGCAUUCUGGACCAUUACUGACACUGAAUCGCGAAAGCUAGGGGAGCAAACGGG